rnacentral:lncRNA from 1 species
CUACAGGGGUUGGCAGGAAUACAGAGUAGGAGCAAUUGAGUUGGUGUGUAGGCUGGGGAUGUGUGGUGGUUUGUCAGGAUCCCACCAUCCUGGGAUGAUGGUCUAACUUAAACCCAGUGUGAUGUACAGAGUCUUAGAUUCUGUAAGUCACAGUGAUGCCCCUAAAGUUCCCUUUAUCAAACAGGAGAGUGCCUAUGGUAAGCAGGGAUGAUUGUAGCAGGUAUCAGAAGAAUGUGUACAGAGAAAACAGGCAUUCAAGGACACAGGGAGAUGACACUCACACUUCAGCAGAGAAAGGGGCUACAGGUUGACCACACCCAACCUGUAUAACCUGAAAAGACUCCAGGCUCUGGACUGGUAGAGGAUGAAGCUCUGUUGUGUCCCAGUGGAGGGACAAGUGUCAGCUCUGGCAAUCCAUAGUGUCUAAGGAAAAUCUUAUCAGCCUCUGGAGUGGUUGGCCCAUUGGCACCUUCAGCAAUGAUCUUGGCUUUGACUCUGGGUGCAUCAGAUUUGGUCAACUGCUUCUCGCUGGCAGCAGGAAUCAGAAUGUCACAGUCAGCCUUCAAGAUGCUUCCUUCAUAGACCUUGGCUUUGGGGAAGCCCAUAAUUGAUUCAUGUUGCAACUUGAAGUCUUCCAGUUCUUUUGGGUCAAUCCCAU